ensembl:lncRNA novel transcript
CUGCUAGGGCAGGACUCAGCCCAGAGAGCCUGCUGGAUUUGGGGCUCUGUGUGGAAGGGCGAGGAGACAUCGCAGUGCCACUCUGACACUGCAUACAUUUUCCUAAAGCACAGGAAAGGAAACAGAAGGCUCCAGGGAGCCCCAGGACUUGACCUCUGGGAUUGGGCCAUUCUAAGGGCAGGCUCAGCAGUCUCUCUGCUCUCCAGGAAAGGCGUUCCCUCUACGGGAGACAGCUCUGGGCUUGCUUUGAGGGCUCCAGACUGGAUUCAGCAUACGCGGGAGCUGGGGGAGGGCGGCUUGCAAGGCGGUGAGCUCCCCGCCACUGGAAGCUGGAAGCUACAGGGAAGCUUCCGCGGAGGACUGGCGAUGGCUUCUUUGCUCCAACAGCUGCUCCUUGUGCCAGGCUCAGGCUGAGUUACAGCUAGAGGUGCAGUGGCUACAAGAGUUUCUGCUCACGGUCAUGGAAGAGAAAGAAAAUGAACAAGCACCCCAGCCUGAAACUCACCCCUUGACAAGCACCCUGCAAGCUACAGUGAUUCUGAAUCCCAGAAGUGAUGGGCUGUCUUGGAGAAUCCCAGGGGCUGUCCUGUGCUCCAGGCCUGUCUCAGGACUCCUUGGGUGGACGCAAUCUCCUCUAGUCCCCUCUAAAGACUUCUUCAUCAUUACGAUGAACCAGAGAAGGGCAAGCCGAGAAGCAUGGAGGUCAUUCCACCAGCCUGUGGACUCCUGGCCCAUCCAGUCACUAAAGCUAUGGAGGAGAAGGCAGAGAGACAUGGACCUGGGGGAAAGAGGAGGCUCCCUGUACCUAUCAGCUGUAGGGAAGAAGACUCUGCUCCACACAGUCACUUGGGAUUGAAGCUGAUGGAGGCUCCACCAUCUCAUAGCUACUUCAUCUGGAACCAGCAGCCUCCUCAGCAGAAGGAGGGAGCAGGAAGGGUGUCCAGGGUGUUUUCACUCGAUCAACCCGGAAUGAGAGGUAGCACUUUGCUCACAUUUCACUGGCCAGAAUUAGGAAUGUGACCUCAUCUAACUGCAAGGGAACUGGGAAGCAAUGUGCCCAGAACGAGUGGUCUGCACACAUUGCCCUGCUUCCUUACCUUUCAUUCAAUCUUCAAUUGCCCAGUCUAGGCUGUUCCCCACCACUUAUACCAGCACAGCCUCCUGUUUCCAAACCCAGUGGUCAUUCUCAUGUUUCCCAAUCUAUGGGCAGCACUAACCCCAGCUACUGCCCCCACCUCGAUCUAGCCUGGCCUCAGCUUCUGCAAUACCUCAUUCUGCUGGGCUUCCUUCCCUCUCUCUCUGCUCUGUGAGUUUCUCCUCACCCAACCUUCUCUAAAUGUUGGUGUCUUCUCAGAACAGAUCUUGGCCCUAUUGUUUUUUCUCUGUAUAUUCUCUUGCUAAAUAAUUACAUCAGUUCCAUAGCUUUAAAUGGCAUCUAUUUGCCAAUACAUCUUAAACACAGAUCGCAGGGCAGAGUUCUAUCCCUAGGAGACUCACACUUUUCUUCUCCACUGCUUGCUUGAGAGCCCACAGUGCAUCAUAUAAGGAACUUGAGUCUCCCACACUUGAGUCAAUCACGGCUUCUUGUCGUAAUUGGAAAUCUAGGAGUGGCACAUCCUUGACAGCUCCCUUUUGCUCAGCCCUGAAUAUAAACCAUCCAUAUGUCCUGUAGAUUUAACCUCCAAAAUACAUCAAAGGAGGUCUGGAAUCAACAAACCUCAGGCUGUCUCCACUGCCACUCGCUCAGUGCCAAUCUUGUCCUGGGCGGCACUCGGGGUUCCCCCACUCGCUCCUUGUCAAGUCAUUCUCCCAGCAGCACCAGAUUUGUCUAUAAAAUGCAAACCAAAUCAUGGUACUUCCUGCUUCAGUCCCUGAGCUGGCUUCUCACUCCUCGGGAAUCAAGUUCAAGUUCCCCUCCAUGGCCCACAUGACCAUGCAACCCAGGCCCUCCUCGGCCUCAUACAUGCUACCCUCCCCUCCACAGUGUGUUCCAGCCACACAGAGCUCCUUGUCCUGCUCUGCACCACUUGCCCCCUUUCCACACCGAGGCCUUGUCACACUCAGUGCUGUAUCGUUCACUAAAACGUCACCGCCUUGAUGAGCUGGAUGCACAGAGGCAUUGAGGAGAAGUGCAUCUGGCAUCUCCCCAAAACAAAAGACAUCACUGUAUCAAAAGAAUACCUGCCCUCAUAUGUUCUUCCCAGCACCAUUCACAAUAGCAAAGGCAUGAAAUCAGCCCGGGUGUCCACCAACCGAAGACGGGACGAAGAAAAUGUAGUGCAUAUGCACCAAGGAAUACUACUUGGCCAUAAAGAUGAAUGAAAUCAUGUCUUCUGCAGCAAUAAGGAUGGAACUGGAGGCCAUUCUCCUACGUGAAAUAACUCAGACACAAAAAGAUAAAUACCACACGUUCUCACUUAACAGUGGGAGCUAAAUAAUGUGUACACAUGGAUGUAGAGUGUGGAAUGAUAGACUCUGGAGACACCCAAGGGUGGGGAGGAUGGAGGGGGUGAGGCAGGAGAAGUUACUUCAUGGGUACCACAUACGUUAGUCCAGCAAUGGCUACACUAAAGGCUCAGAUGACACCACUACGUAUUAUAUCCAUGUAACAAAAUUACACUUGUGCCUCAUAAAUGUAUACAAGUUUGAAUAAAGGACAACUGU